rnacentral:lncRNA from 1 species
GGUUUCAUUAAUACAAGAAUAUUACAAGAAUUUUGUCACAAGGUACAUUCAAGUUCCAUCACAUUCAAGUACAAAACAUUACAAGACCAUUAUAAAAAUAUUACAUGAAGAACACUACAAAAAUGUUUUAGUUGACUUUUGGUCAACAAGGUUGACCUGUUUACCAUUGACCAUUGACCCCUUUGACCCAAAAAACUGACUUGUUCUUGACUCUCCACACUUCAAGUCCAAUGCACCUUCAAUUUUAUUUGAGUAACUUCAUGUGCAAGCAGGCCAUUAAUAUCACAAUUGCAAUGCAUAAUUCCAACUACACCAGGUUAUACUGUUUGAUCACAUUAUCACAAACUACCAUUCUAAUGUCAAUACAUGAUACAUACACUUGUUACCAACUCAGAAAUGACAAAAAAUUUCAAGAAAUGGAAGGAGAAUCAUCCAAGUUUCAUAACAACUCCAACCUGCUCGAUCCCACCAUCACCACUGCCUCUUUCUUCAUGUAGUCCAGGUCAAGCCACCAAUCCAUGUGAAUUUACAAAAGAGAGAACGAGUUAGUUAUUAUGCAAUUAAACUCAGCUAAUAUCAAGCAAGAAAAACAGACAAAAGCAAUCAAAAUCAAGAUGAGUUCAUAUCACCAAUCAACAUAAAAUAACACAA